CCUACGGGCGGCAGCAGUGAGGAAUAUUGGUCAAUGGGCGUAAGCCUGAACCAGCCAAGUCGCGUGAGGGAUGAAGGUUCUAUGGAUCGUAAACCUCUUUUAUAAGGGAAUAAAGUGCGGGACGUGUCCCGUUUUGUAUGUACCUUAUGAUUAAGGAUCGGCUAACUCCGUGCCAGCAGCCGCGGUAAUACGGAGGAUCCGAGCGUUAUCCGGAUUUAUUGGGUUUAAAGGGUGCGUAGGCGGCCUUUUAAGUCAGCGGGGAAAGUCUUUGGCUCAACCAUAGAAUUGCCGUUGAAACUGGGAGGCUUGAGUAUGUUUGAGGCAGGCGGAAGGCGGGGUGUAGCGGUGAAAUGCUGAGAUAUCACGCAGAACCCCGAUUGCGAAGGCAGCCUGCCAAGCCAUGACUGACGCUGAUGCACGAAAGCGUGGGGAUCAAACAGGAUUAGAUACCCGGGUAGUC
rnacentral:rRNA from 1 species